AUUGAACGCUGGCGGCAGGCCUAACACAUGCAAGUCGAGCGGAUGAAGGGAGCUUGCUCCUGGAUUCAGCGGCGGACGGGUGAGUAAUGCCUAGGAAUCUGCCUGGUAGUGGGGGAUAACGUCCGGAAACGGGCGCUAAUACCGCAUACGUCCUGAGGGAGAAAGUGGGGGAUCUUCGGACCUCACGCUAUCAGAUGAGCCUAGGUCGGAUUAGCUAGUUGGUGGGGUAAAGGCCUACCAAGGCGACGAUCCGUACCUGGUCUGAGAGGAUGAUCAGUCACACUGGAACUGAGACACGGUCCAGACUCCUACGGGAGGCAGCAGUAGGGAAUAUUGGACAAUGGGCGAAAGCCUGAUCCAGCCAUGCCGCGUGUGUGAAGAAGGUCUUCGGAUUGUAAAGCACUUUUAGUUGGGAGGAAGAGCAGUAAGUUAAUACCUUGCUGUUUUGACGUUACCAACAGAAUAAGCACCGGCUAACUUCGUG
rnacentral:rRNA from 1 species